rnacentral:rRNA from 1 species
AUUGAACGCUGGCGGAAUGCUUUACACAUGCAAGUCGAACGGCAGCACGGACUUCGGUCUGGUGGCGAGUGGCGAACGGGUGAGUAAUGUAUCGGAACGUGCCCAGUCGUGGGGGAUAACGUAGUGAAAAUUACGCUAAUACCGCAUACGAUCUAUGGAUGAAAGCGGGGGAUCGCAAGACCUCGCGCGAUUGGAGCGGCCGAUAUCAGAUUAGGUAGUUGGUGGGGUAAAGGCCCACCAAGCCAACGAUCUGUAGCUGGGCUGAGAGGACGACCAGCCAAACUGGAACUGAGACACGGUCCAGACUCCUACGGGAGGCAGCAGUGGGAAAUUUUGGACAAUGGGCGAAAGCCUGAUCCAGCCAUUCCGCGUGCAGGAUGAAGGCCCUCGGGUUGUAAACUGCUUUUGUACAGAACGAAAAGGUUUCUACUAAUACUAGGAGCUCAUGACGGUACUGUAAGAAUAAGCACCGGCUAACUACGUGCCAGCCGCCGCAGUAA